GAAGAUCGUAAAUAGUAUUAGGAACAAACGUUUUAUUAUAUGGAAACUAUAAUGCUUGCUAUAAAUGAAAGAAUACUCAGGAUAAACUCUGCACCACCCGCCAGCUAACAUCAACAUUCCGAAAAUUAAAACAAAAAAUUGCUAGUAAUUUGGGUACCUAAAAAAACACAAUAAAAAAAGACGAUUAAUGAAAGACAACAAAACGUAUUAAAAAGAAAAUAAAAAUACAAAUCAAGACUAUGCCUUCCAUUUCAACAAUGAUAACAAAACGCACAACACAAAACCAAAACCAGAACCACAGACGCAACAUUAACUUGAAACGUCAUACUAUGUCAAGUGUCAAACAGCGUUAUGUCAUCCGUCACGGUCACAAAGAGAUGACAUGCUAUUUGUCAACACAAUAUUAUUUAUUGUUGAAUUACGUAUAAAUUAGUGUUUCAAAAUGACGGUGUAUGUAAAAUUAAUAUAAUGUUGUACAAAUCCAUAAGCAAACAAAGGGACAGUGAAUCAUGCCAACGACGGUUACAUUACAAUAAUAAUAGUAGGAGGUAUACAAAAUAUGCAAACUUAAAAAGAUACCUCCUACCUGAAGAGUUAACAGAUGACAAAGAAAGAUACAAAAUGAUUUAACUCGUCGAGUACCGUCAUUAUAGACACAAUUAUAAAACAAUAGUAUGCGGCCACCGGUGACCGCUUGGUGUUGGACAGUUUAAUACGGAAGCCAAAGCAAAUCCGAUGGAACAAACACACAACUUCCGCCAACCUCCUCCGCACCACGCUUGGUACUGGAUGAUGAAGUGCUUUGCGUCCUUGGGUACUUGGCUAGCAGAGGCUUCAGCUCAUCCAUCGAAGACACUUUACACCGCUUCCCAUCUGAGGCCUUGACGAAGAUUACACCAUCCUGUGUCCAGCAAGACCUCACGCCGAAGUGCUGUCGUGCUUUUGCAAAGACACACUGUCUCUCACGGGUCAGAAACUCUCUGAUGGCAAUCUUCGUACCCUUUAAUCCGGUUUUGGCCCGCCAGACAGACUGUUUGAUAUCCACACUGGCAAACCGGACCAGAAGAGGCCGGUGGUGAUCCGCACUGGUCUGCCCCAGUCUGUGCGAAACCUUGACAGAUGAUGAGGAACUCCAUGGAUGAUCAACGCUUUUCGACGGCUCCUUGUUGCGAGAUCAUCUAUCUGCUGAGAGCACUCAGUGAGCUGGCGGCGCAUGGUGCCCAGCACGCUAUACAUGAGUACUCUGAAGGUUCGAAACUCAUCUGCCAGCUUCGCAAGUGUGUCCUUUCCGGAGCCUGCCGCCUCGAUCUGAGCGUUGACUGCCUCCAACUGAUUCACAACCAGCUCUUGCAGUGGUGUGAACUUUUCCUCCAAGGAUUUUUGUGUUGAACGGACUUCGGCUAUUUCAGACAUGGUGAUUUGUGAUAACUGUGAUAACUGUGAUUGUGGUACUCAAUAAAGUUCUGUUGAUGAGCUGGCAGGUGGCGUGCCAAGUUGGUUUUAUUUGCCCAGGGUUAUUACAGGCACUACGUCCAGCCAAUCUGUCUGAUAGAUAACCGAGCACGUUUGGACAC